GAUGAACGCUAGCGAUAGGCCUAACACAUGCAAGUCGAGGGGCAGCACGGGAGUAGCAAUACAACUGGUGGCGACCGGCGCACGGGUGAGUAACGCGUAUGUAAUCUACCUACAACAGGGGGAUAACCCGGAGAAAUCCGGACUAAUACCGCAUAAAACAGGGGUCCCGCCUGGGACUAUUUGUUAAAGAUUUAUCGGUUGUAGAUGAGCAUGCGUUCCAUUAGAUAGUUGGUAAGGUAACGGCUUACCAAGUCAGCGAUGGAUGGGGGAACUGAGAGGUUUGUCCCCCACACUGGAACUGAGACACGGACCAGACUCCUACGGGAGGCAGCAGUGAGGAAUAUUGGUCAAUGGGCGAGAGCCUGAACCAGCCAAAUCGCGUGAAGGAAGACUGCCUUAUGGGUUGUAAACUUCUUUUACAGGGGAAUAAAAAGACAUACGAGUAUGUCAUUGCAUGUACCCUGUGAAUAAGCAUCGGCUAACUCCGUGCCAGCCGCCGCUUAA
rnacentral:rRNA from 1 species